AAGGAAACCUUUUUUUUUAUUAUUAUAAAUAUUGUUUGCAUAAAUCAACCGAAGUUUUUAAUAAAAUAAUUUGUUCGGUUGAAAUACAUUUGUAAAUUUGGUGAUUGGGAUAUCGUGUUCUUCUGCAGUCGAUUAUAUAGUAAUUUGCAGAGUAAUUAAAUAAGCAAAUCACUAAAUGCAUAUACACUCUUCAUGGGCUAAAUCUAUUUUAAAUUCAUCGUUUGCAGAUCCGCCAGGGAUAAUAUAAAUUCAUUCGGCUUUAUAAACUUGACCUCACAUGAAUUACUAACACAUUCUAACUCUGUACAUGAUGAUGCUACUUUAAUUAAUCGAUCUAACAAGCAAUAUUAUCCUAAAAUAUAGAUCAUCGAGAUCCAUAUGAAUAAUAUUUAUCAUCAUGAGUUCCCUCAUCAAAAUUCAGUGAGUAACUAACAGCAUCAUACUGGAAUAUCAAAGGCUUUGAAGAUCCGUAUAUGCUUUUUUUGCUUCCUUCAAUCACCUUCUUCAUGAGCUUCCUCCAAUUACGACUCCGGCGUACACUGCCACUGUUAAUUUGUGUGCAGUCUUCCUGAUCGGAGAGUGAAGAAGCCGACGUACAGUCAGAAACGUUAGAUAAUCGUCCUUCAAUGGAAACGCUGCAUGUAAGGUUAAUUGUGGUGGCCAUCUUUUUUGGAGAGAGAAGAGUUCUUGUUUGUUGUGAAUUGUGAAUUGUGAAUUGAUGAAUGGAAGGUUAAUUAGUGGAAGAGGAGACUUUAUAGUUGGUGUAGAGGGGGUUUUUGGUAAUUCUGAAAGUGUGUAAUGUAGCUUUAAAUCUUAGGUGUAAAGAGGUCGUUAGGAUGUCACUUGGCCAUCUUUACACAUAAUUUGUGGGACUCUGUAAUAUCUUGACUGGAUAUCUUGAGCCAUUAUUCUAAUUUUUCUUUUGUAAUGGAUUUUUAAAUGUGCCGACACCCGACAAUGUUUUUUUCAAGACCAUUUAAUAAGUAUAGCAGUAUUAAAACUCUUAUCCUAAAGCUUCUACUUUAAUUAACAAAAGAACACAGAGUGACCUGAAAGAUGUGUUCUCUUCGGUUUUUAGUCUGUGUGCAUGCUCUAAAUGUUCCAAGGGAAAUUUCGCUUUAAAUUUACAUCAUCUUUUUACUCUUGAUACAAGAUGAAAAUAAAUUGUUUGAUCUUAUCUUAUAACGUAACUUUUAUAAAAGACAGAAACAAAAAGAUCAUUUGCCACCGUCUCUUUCUUUUGAUGUCAUUGUUUGCAAAUUAUCCACUCAGAAUACAAGAAUGUUGAUUUUAUUUUUGUAUGCAACUUUAUUCUUCGAAUAUUCAAGGAAUCAGUUGGCUUCAAAAGGAUUAAGAGCAUAUCACAUGCACGGUUGACACCAAAAUUUACUGUGGAUGCCUUAGUCUUCCUCCUCGGACUAUUGUUGUCUUCAAUAUUGGAUCACAUUAAUAUCCAAGUGUUAACGCUGAGUUCCAGAUGGUUAAUCUCCCAAAAAACAAAUAGAAGAAACAAGAAGGACCGGAGCAAUUUUCUUAUGAUAUUUCCAAAUGCAGCCACAUGAAUUAAAUAUAGUAGUUAGGUUCUAAAAUUAAGGAAAAAUGUAGGAAAACAUGGAAGGACUUAUUCAACUCUGAUAAAAUUGUGCUGGGCUCUUUCUUUUUCAUGUGUUGUUCUGGUGCAAAGUUAUUUGUGGCACUUAAUUCUCAAGUGUGCCCUGCUAGUAAAAAGGGAUUGGUCCAUUUGAAAAUGGAUUUGGAACGGACGGUCAACAUGUGUUGUAUAAAUGUCAUCUCCCUUACAAUUGACCUCCUCCUUGAGGUCAAAGUCUAGGAAAUGGAGUUGAAUUUCAUGUUUUCACUCCCAAGAGGCUUCGGAGAGAGGCUUGUUACUCAUUUUUUGAGGACCUGAUGAUCAUGUUGUGUGUGUUCUUUGUUUAGAUGGAGUCGGUAUUUAUAUUCAUCAUCUUCUAUGAUUGGAAAAUUUGUUGCCUAUAUUGUACUUGAAUUGGAACGCAAUAUUCGAAUGUGAAAACGGGGCAGAUUGCUGCUUGAGCAGGUAACUCUGAAAGGUAUGAAACAUGACCAAAAUUCUCCAAGAUUUGAUAUGGCUCUAAAAACGUUUAGCAAGUUUCUAGUUAACACGAAUUUCCACAGAAGAUUUUCAGUAGUUUCACAGCUUUAAAUUAACAAAAAUUGUCCAUAAUGAAGUUCUUAUCUAGAUGGUGUUUGUUGGCUUGAGUGGUCAUUUUUUCUUGGACCUAGAUAAAGCCUCUUUGGUCAGCACGAUCACCCGUUGAUGUGCGAUGAAGGUAUCGCCGAUAUAAGCAAGAAUAGUGUUGUCAGUUUUGUAUUCAUGAAUGGUGGUGGCGUCCAUGCCAUAGUGGGCCUUAAAGGGUGACAUGUUGAUUAUGGAAUGGUGGCUCUAGGGUAACAUAAUUUGGCAAGGUAUAGGUAACCAUUCCUCGAGCGAGGUCUUCACUAACAAAAGCAAUCAAUAAGCUUCCAAGAACUAAGAACAGGUUGCCAACCUCAUUUUGACCAUCAAUUUGGAUAUUGUACACUACUAGAAAAUAGCACUUUAAUGACUCGCAAACAAUGACGCGCACUGAUAGAGGACGCGCAUUUGUGUGUGCCCUAAAAAAUAAUUUUCAGUUUUGCAAAAUUUGAAGGAUAGAGCAUACACAUUUUUGUGCGCCCUAAAAUUUGUGUCCAACAAAAAAAAAUUAAAAGCACGGAGGACACCUAUCCUAAAAUGUGUGUCGUGUUAUCCUGUCGCUUUAUAAUUUUAGUCUACGAGCGCGCGUUUUCUUUUUUUAAUAGCCAGUGGGAAAUGAAAUCCAAAAAAUUAAAAACCCCGCAUGUUGUCCUUCCAAAGGAACACUCACCUCACCUCAUUCCAUAGAAACGCUCACCUCAUCAGACUCACCACCAUUUGUCUCUCUCUCUCACUCUCUCUCUCUCUNUCUCUCUCUCUCUCUCUCUCUCUCUCUCUCUCUCUCACUCUCUCCUCCAUGGUACAUACCACCACUAUCUUGUACCACCACCAUGGUCGUCGCACCUACAUCUCACCACCUGCAACCUCAACACAAUCGACCAUCACUGCCAUUCCUACCAUCCAUCGCCACCGUACCAUAUUCUCCAUCACCACCUCUUUCUUGUUCCAUGUGAAACCUUAAAAUCGGUACCAACAACUAAUAGGGUUUAGUGAAAAAGUUGAUCUAAGUAAAAUCAAAGCAAACGACUUAGAAGAUCCUACCAUAUACCCGUACAAAGCUGCUUAGGUAGGUUAUUUAUUAAAUUUUGUCUUUAAUUCUAAAGAUAUUUCCUUCGAUUCUAACCCUAGUUUGUUCUCCCCUCCUUUUCCUUCACAAACACACAUGAAUUUUAAGUUCCUUAUAUGUUCCUAUGGGGUUCACGAAGUAUGGUUUAUACAUUUAUGUUUCUGAAUUUCGAGUAUUAUGCACACAAAUGUCAGAAGAAAUAUGGUCAACCAACUCACAUAUGGUCCGAUUCCGAUUCUUAAAGCCCUCAACUCCGAUUUACAUGUGAUCAAGGCUGGAAAGUUUCAUCUAUUGGUUUCGCUAGCUUUGGGAAUCCCAAAGGGGAUUGUGGUGCUGGAUUUACUCAAGGAAGUUGUCAUAUAGACGUCAUAACAAUUGCCUCCGUCUCAAGUUGUUGCUCAUAUGUCUACUUCUACACUCAACAGUCACAUAUAUUUUAAGUCAUUAUUAUCUUCCUCAAUGCAAGGUAUUUUUCCCAAACCACUAGUUUCUAAACAUAUUUUUGGAAUGGAUUCAUCUCCCUCGCCGUCGCUUUGUCGUGCAUCCCAUGCUCAUGAGUAACGAUUUGUUCAUGUUUAACAUGUCACAUGUGACUACUACGAGUACGUAUGUUGUGGUUUAGUUCGGUUAUUGGACAAACCAACCUAUAAUAAUUACAAUCGGUUAAUGCAUUUCAAUUAAAUGUUUUUGUUAUUGGGUAACAUGGUUGACCAUAAUGAUAGACAAAUUUCAUAAAAAAUAAAAAGUACAUUUCUAUAAAAAUGAAAAAACAAAAAGUAGAUUGUCAAAAAAUUAAAAUGAAAAUUAAAAAGUACUACGUAGUUAACUUAGUUGUAUUCUUUCUGCUAUUAAUUUAGACACCUCAAAACCACCAUACAAUUCUUCCAAUCUUCUUAAUAUAUUUAGUAGCAAUCAAAAAGGUUAGUCAAAUAUAUACUAAAUGGAUAUUAAAUAUUAUCUUACUGAUUUUUAAAUAAAUAACUAUGUUAUAAUAUUUUUUAUUAGUUACAUAAUCUUAUCCACCAAUCAAAAAAUUUUAUGUAUGAAGAACGUACACUUUUUUCUUAAAUAGCUAAUUUAAUGGAAUUUUAAAUUUCGUUAUUUGACACUAUUUGUUUAAUAUUUAUCUUUAAAUUACAAUUAAUAUACAAUUAAAUAUAAGAUUUCAGUUCGGUUUAUAUUGUUUCAAUUUCCGUAUAAAACCAUAACUGAUAUAACAUAAAGAAAAAAAAACAAAGAACAAAACGGAACAGUUGGUUUUAAAAACAGUUUGGUUUUUAUGGUUCGGUUGCAUUAGUUAAUUUAGUUCUAGUUAGGUCUUUCUUUUCGGUUAUUAUACUCACCCUAGCGGCUAUGAUAGAAAAAUUAACCCUCCAUGAGUAGAUUUCAAGAAGCAAUUAGCAAAAAGCUGUGAACAUAGAGGAAUUUGUGGUUCGUCUCUAUAUUUAAAAAGACGAAAAGAAAAAAGAUCUAAAUAGUAGCUACUGGUCUGCUUUGGCAAAGGAAACCUUUUUUUUAUUAAUUUAAAUACUGUAUGCAUAAAUCAACCCAAGUUUUUAAUAAAAUAAUUUGUUCUGCUCAAACAAAUUUGUAAAUUUGGUGAUUGAGAUGUCGUGUUCUUCCGAUGAAAUAGCAGUUGAUUAUCUACAAAUUGCAGACUAAAUAAGCAAAUCACUAAAUGCAUAUACACUCCUCAUGGGCUAAAUCUAUUUUAAAUUCAUCCUUUGCAGAUCUGCCAAAGAUAAUAUAAAUUCAUUCGCCUUUAUAAUAUUGACCUCACAUGAAUUACUAACACAUUCUAACUCUGUACAUGAUGAUGCUACUUUAAUUAAUCAAUCUUACAAGCAAUAUUAUCCUAAAACAUAGNGCAUCUUAGACGAAAAGUGGAACAUGUGAUGGAGAAACUGGAUAAGGCGAAUAAGAAGAAAAACACAUUAAUUCGUAAGAGCAAAGAAUUUCCAGGGNCAAGCAAUAUUAUCCUAAAACAUAGAUCAUCGAGAUCCAUAUGAAUAAUAUUCAUCAUCGUGAGUUCCUUCAUCAAAAUUCAGUGAGUAACUAACAGCAUCAUACUGGAAUAUCAAAUGCUUUGAAGAUCCGUAGAUGCUUUUUUUGCUUCCUCCAAUCACCUUCUUCAUGAGCUUCCUCCAAUUACGACUCCAGCGUACACUGCUACUGUUAAUUUGUGUGCAGUCUUCCUGAUCGGAGAGUGAAGAAGUCGACCUACAGUCAGAAACAUUAGAUAAUCGUCCUUCAAUGUACGCACUGCAGGUAAGGUUAAUUGUGGUGGCCAUCUUUUUUGGAGAGAGAAGAGUUCUUGUUUGUUGUGAAU
rnacentral:lncRNA from 1 species